CCAAUAGCGUAUAUUAAAGUUGUUGCAGUUAAAAAGCUCGUAGUUGAAUUUCGGGGUUCUACCGUUGGUCGGGCUUUGUCUGUACUGGCGUGUAGAAUUUCUACCUUCUGGGGAACCAUCAUGUUAUUAAUUUAACGUGGUGGGAAACAAGGACCUUUACCUUGAAAAAAUUAGAGUGUUCAAAGCAGGCGUAUGUCUGAAUACAUUAGCAUGGAAUAAUAAAAUAGGACGGUGGUCCUGUUUUGUUGGUUUCUGAAUCACCGUAAUGAUUAAUAGGGAUAGUUGGGGGCAUUAGUAUUCAAUUGUCAGAGGUGAAAUUCUUGGAUUUAUUGAAGACUAACUUCUGCGAAAGCAUUUGCCAAGGAUGUUUUCAUUAAUCAAGAACGAAAGUUAGGGGAUCGAAGACGAUCAGAUACCGUCGUAGUCUUAACCAUAAACUAUGCCGACUAGGGAUCGGAAGAUGUUAAUUUUUCUUGACUCGUUCGGCGCCUUACG
rnacentral:rRNA from 1 species